rnacentral:lncRNA from 1 species
CAGCCGUUACAUAUUUGAGCGAAUACGUCUCUUCGUCAUUGUAAUCAGAUUCCAUAUCUAAACCUUCUAGUAAAUAAUAAAUAAUGUCAUCAUUGUCAAUACCUAUAAAUUCUUCAUUUUCUGGUAAACAUAAAGGUGUUUCAUCCUUGUUAUUGUCGUCUUCAUCGGCAAAAAGUACUUUCUGAAAUAGAAUAAAAUUUCUCAUUGGAGAACUAAUAUUAUGUCAAUAAAUAAAAUGUAUUUAUUUCCACUAAAAUAAUAUAGUUAAGUGCAUAAAAAAAUUCCCUCGAAAAUCCCUAAAUAAAUAAUAAAUCUGACAAGAAAAUAACAAAAAAUAUGUGAACAAGAAACCUACUACCCCUCUGAAAAUUAUACUCGUAAAACAUACCACAAGAGUGGCAUUGUAAGUUACAUAUUGCAUGAUGUCCACUCUAGUGGACAUGACUUCAAGGUGAUAUUUUCAGUGAGUUUUCAAUUAUUUUGAAAUGAUAACAAAUGCUAAUUGUGUAAAAUACAUAAUUCUAUAAGAAAAAUAUUUUCUUACCUUUUUUUUUGCUUUUCCAUAGAAACUACUGGCAUUUAUUUCAGGCAAUUCACAGGUGGCCAUCGCGGUCAGGUGAUUUAUAGAUACUAACGUUAACAAACUUUGACUUUCAAAAUAAAUAUUGUAGAUGGCGGUAGUAGUUACUUGAUUAGAGUCCACUGAAAGGGAUUUCAUGCAUUUU